rnacentral:misc_RNA from 1 species
UUUAUUUAUUUUUAUUUUUUUUUUAGCACUUUACUCAAGUAAGCACCAUGUGUUUAUCUAGCACAUUUUGCAACUAGAGGCCUUGAGGCUUUUGACAACAUUGAAUUAAGUGUUCAGAGGAAUUUCCGGGUUUUUAAUGCCCCUAGAAUAACAAGAAUAGAGGCCAACAAAGAUCCACCUUUGGUUUAAGAUGGAUUUAAGAAUGGUCACUAAAAUCUGGCCGACUAACUUGAGCAAUCAUAGUUUUCUUCGGUUCUACUUUAAAUUUAGGUUGCAUCCCAUGAAUUCUUUGGGGCACCAAGAAUUGGCAAUCUGCAUAUAUCUGAUUGACUGAGUGGCGUAUAAAUUGAUUAACUGAUCUGUAUAGCCAUCAAGUGCUUAUGAAGUUUAUAUCUUUAUCUCUUUUUCUCUGCAUUUGAUGUGUAAAUACAGGUCAUGCCUCCAUUAUGGUGCAG